rnacentral:rRNA from 1 species
AUUGAACGCUGGCGGAAUGCUUUACACAUGCAAGUCGAACGGUAGAGGGGGCAACCCCCUUGAGAGUGGCGAACGGGUGAGUAAUAUAUCGGAACGUGCCCGGUCGUGGGGGAUAACGUAGCGAAAGCUACGCUAAUACCGCAUACGAUCUACGGAUGAAAGCGGGGGAUCGCAAGACCUCGCGCGAUUGGAGCGGCCGAUAUCAGAUUAGGUAGUUGGUGAGGUAAAGGCUCACCAAGCCGACGAUCUGUAGCUGGUCUGAGAGGACGACCAGCCACACUGGGACUGAGACACGGCCCAGACUCCUACGGGAGGCAGCAGUGGGGAAUUUU